rnacentral:rRNA from 1 species
AUUGAACGCUGGCGGCAUGCCUUACACAUGCAAGUCGAACGGCAGCACGGGGCAACCUGGUGGCGAGUGGCGAACGGGUGAGUAAUGCAUCGGAACGUGCCAUUGAGUGGGGGAUAACGUAGCGAAAGUUGCGCUAAUACCGCAUAUUCUGUGAGCAGGAAAGCAGGGGACCGCAAGGCCUUGCGCUCUUUGAGCGGCCGAUGUCAGAUUAGCUAGUUGGUGAGGUAACGGCUUACCAAGGCGACGAUCUGUAGCGGGUCUGAGAGGAUGAUCCGCCACACUGGAAUUGAGACACGGUCCAGACUCCUACGGGAGGCAGCAGUGGGGAAUUUUGGACAAUGGGCGCAAGCCUGAUCCAGCCAUGCCGCGUGAGUGAAGAAGGCCUCGGUUGUAAGCUCUUCGGUCCGGGAACGGAAAUAC